GUGACACGGGUAUUGGCGCGGGUAUGCCCCGCGAAUUCUCAGGCCGUCGACGCCGCUGCUCCUCAUCCUUUUUAAGGCACUAUCUGUCAUAAUGACCUUGCUGAGUCCCAGCUGGCUGAUUUGCAGAAAGUGAAGGUAGAACUAAUUUGUCAAGCUAGCGCGACGUGGCGGCGGAUCCGGGACGUGAUUUACACCAAAUGAUUCCCAAAGAAAUCGUAAAAGCCUGGGAGACAGGGUCAGCAAUUUAAAAGACGAUGGUUUUUUUCUUUCUUUGUUCUUGUUUUUAAUCACGUUAGGUUAUAUUGCAGCGUGAUUGAAGAAAUACUAAAACCUCCCGCUUCCCUCUUAACUUGAGGCUUUCUGUUGCGUCAGUUCAUCUGGGCCGAAGGAGGGAAAUCGAGAAGGCAAUCUCGAUUCUUGCGUCAAAAGACCGACAGCUAUUCAGCCUGAUCUUCGCACACACUUACCCCAAGCACUAAUCCAGAAAUGCAUGGCAGCCUGUGUCCGUCCCUUCACGCUGACAAACGUAAUUGGGUUUUAAAUGCAGGAAUCUAGCCAAACACGCUAAACUUCUGGGGACAGCAGAGGUUUCGCAAUAGCGUGGAGCGGCAGAGCCUUGCCAAUUGCGAGUAACUCGAAACGCAAUAAAGAAACGCACAGCACACAGGCCUAUUGGAAGGCCGGACCAGAGCUGAUUGACGGGAGGCCUGCCUUUGGAAGGCGGGAUUCCAGGUGGCCUGAAGGUUAUUGGAGAACGGGUGCAACUUACGACCAUGAUAGUUACUUUUUCGUCUACACGUGUUAUCCUGGAGCGCGGAACCACAUCCUUCCGCCUGAUAGCUUCUUCGCCAGCGAGAGAUUAUGGCAAGGUUGACUAUCCUGAGUCUGUCUGGAAGUUUUGAACUCCAUUGUCCCUGACCACUAGCCAGGUUGGCUGUGACUGAGGAGAACUGGAGCCAGCAACAUCUAAAGAGACACAGGUAAUCUAGUCUCAUUUUACUGUUCUGUAACAAAUAGAAUGCGCAAACAAUGUAAUUGCUAGUGCAGGAAUAUCUGCAUACCCUGGAUAGGAUGGCUUAUGUUUUAAAAUGUUUC
rnacentral:lncRNA from 1 species